CUCUUACACUUUUGUCAAGAGAAAACCUAGUCGUAUUCACCCCGCCUCUCUUCAGGUCUUCUUCCUACAGCCGCAACUGCAAUAUCUUGAUAGAAAUCAACCAGUGGGUGUGUAUUGUAAGCAGAUGCUCAUUCUGGCCAUCUAACUAGGACUCAAUAUAGGGGCAACAUGAAAAAACAGAAAGGAAAUAAAGUUGGUGAUCAUUGUGUUCCCGUAGGAUUGAAACCUCCGGCUAUGCCGCCUCCUAAAGUUAUCGUUUCAAAGCCUACAAAGAAGACUAAAGUUGUAAAAUCAGUAGUGCGGAAAGAAGUAGAAAUCGUAGCCAGUGAUUCUGAUGAUUCUGAUCAUAUGCACACAAGAUUGGAUAAGAAGUGCGCUAAAGAGUAAGUAACUGUUGAUGGUGGUUUUUAGCUUAGGGAUAAAAUCGUAAAACCUUAUAUCUGACAUGACGUCACUAGGACCACUAGCGCAUUUAUUGAAUCAUUCAACACGCUUACGUAAGAAUUACCAGGGUACCUUUUUUU